UACGUAGGGUGCGAGCGUUGUCCGGAAUUAUUGGGCGUAAAGAGCUUGUAGGCGGUUUGUCGCGUCUGCCGUGAAAGCCCAGGGCUUAACCCUGGGUCUGCGGUGGGUACGGGCAGACUAGAGUGUGGUAGGGGAGACUGGAAUUCCUGGUGUAGCGGUGAAAUGCGCAGAUAUCAGGAGGAACACCGGUGGCGAAGGCGGGUCUCUGGGCAGUAACUGACGCUGAGGAGCGAAAGCGUGGGGAGCGAACAGG
rnacentral:rRNA from 1 species